UUGAACGCUGGCGGCAGGCCUAACACCUGCAGGUCGAACGGUAACAGGAAGCAGCUUGCUGCUUCGCUGACGAGUGGCGGACGGGUGAGUAAUGUCUGGGAAGCUGCCUGAUGGAGGGGGAUAACUACUGGAAACGGUAGCUAAUACCGCAUAAUGUCGCAAGACCAAAGAGGGGGACCUUCGGGCCUCUUGCCAUCGGAUGUGCCCAGAUGGGAUUAGCUUGUUGGUGGGGUAACGGCUCACCAAGGCGACGAUCCCUAGCUGGUCUGAGAGGAUGACCAGCCGCACUGGGACUGAGACACGGUCCAGACUCCUACGGGAGGCAGCAGUGGGGAAUAUUGCACAAUGGGCGCAAGCCUGAUGCAGCCAUGCCGCGUGUAUGAAGAAGGCCUUCGAGUUGUAAAGUACUUUCAGCGGGGAGGAAGGGAGUAAAGUUAAUACCUUUGCUCAUUGACGUUACCCGCAGAAGAAGCACCGGCUAACUCCGUG
rnacentral:rRNA from 1 species